rnacentral:rRNA from 1 species
GCUGGCGGCACGCCUUAUACAUGCAAGUCGAACGAAGUAGCAAUACUUAGUGGCAGACGGGUGAGUAACAUGUGGGAAUCUUCCCUUUGGAGAGAAAUAACACGAGGAAACUUGUGCUAAUAUCUCAUAAGUCUUUACGGAGAAAGCUUUUGCGCCAAAGGAUGAGCCCGCACUUGAUUAGUUUGUUGGUGGGGUAAAAGCCUACCAAGACUGUGAUCAAUAGCUGAUUUGAGAGGAUGAUCAGCCACAUUGGGACUGAGACACGGCCCAAACUCCUACGGGAGGCAGCAGUAAGGAAUCUUGCACAAUGGAGGAAACUCUGAUGCAGCGAUGCCGCGUGAGUGAAGAAGGCCUUUGGGUUGUAAAGCUCUUUCGUCGGGGAAGAAAAUGACGGUACCCGAAUAAGAAGGUCCGGCUAACUUCGUGCCAGCAGCCGCGGUAAUACGAAGGGACCUAGCGUAGUUCGGAAUUACUGGGCUUAAAGAGUUCGUAGGCGGUUAAAAAAGUUGGUGGUGAAAUCCCAGAGCUUAACUCUGGAACUGCCAUCAAAACUUUUUAGCUAGAGUAUGAUAGAGGAAAGCAGAAUUUCUAGUGUAGAGGUGAAAUUCGUAGAUAUUAGAAAGAAUACCAAUUGCGAAGGCAGCUUUCUGGAUCAUUACUGACGCUGAGGAACGAAAGCAUGGGUAGCGAAGAGGAUUAGAUACCCUCGUAGUCCAUGCUGUAAACGAUGUGUGUUAGACGUUGGAAAUUUAUUUUCAGUGUCGCAGCGAAAGCAGUAAACACACCGCCUGGGGAGUACGACCGCA